rnacentral:RNase_P_RNA from 1 species
GGAAGAGGAAACACGGUCGCGCUUUAGUAUGAGUACGUAAAGUGAGGAAAGUCCGAGCUCUCAGAGCCGGGGUGCCCGGUAACGCCGGGGCGGAGUAAUCCGACGGAAAGUGCCGCAGAAAACAAACAGCCAAACCGACGGCCGUAUGGCCGGCGGCGGCAAUGGUGAAAACGAGGUGUAAGAGACCCCGCCCGUGCCUGGUAACAGGUGCGGGGGUAAACCCCACCCGGAGCAAGGUCAAAUAGGGGAAGAGGGACCGGCUCGUCCCGUUCGAUUCCCGGGUAGACCGCAUGGAACCGGCAGGUAACUGCCCGGUCAAGAUAAAUGACCGUGACCGCUGAUGGCGGGACAGAACUCGGCUUAUAUUCCUCUUUCUGGC